GAACUGCACCCCGACAGAAACAUUAACAUCCGUCAUUCUUAUUUUAUUUCUCUCAAAAACAUUUAACUGUUGUAGCUCUGGUGUACAAACAGGGGUUUAAACAACUAUAAUCUACUUGUUCGCGCCAUAGACUUUAAAUGUUUAGGAGUUCUUUUAUGGCCAGUGACAGGAUUCACAGGGGAGCAGUGUCCCCCAGAGCACGGGGCUUAUCUCCGCUCACACGCCGGGCAGGAGGCACUGUGAGCGGCCGCAGAGGACACGCCGCUGCGCUGGAGCUCCCACACUUUUCUUCAUUCUGAGGUCCGGUUCGGGUCAAAGUCAGGCGGGCUCCGGUUUGCACAUGUCCCGGGACCCUCUGGAGCUUCUCCGUGUAUCUGCGGAGACCCGAGGCUCAUUCAUCCGGUCCAGCGGUGUUCGGUCCCCGCGCACGCCGCCGACAGGGAGCUCUGAGCGGCCACUGGCUCCACGAAUCUCCCCCAGGACCGCAGCUUUUCUGAGGUUUAAAUGAACUUUCACAGGAGGGAUCCAAAAGGAGAAGUUUGCGUUCUGGGUUUAGAUGUUAAAAGUUUCACUGAACCGAGCGGCGUUCAGCUGUGAGAGUGUCCGAGCAGGAGGCACUUUGAGCGGACACAGAGCACCGCGAGGCCCCGCUGUAGCUCCGUUAGCCUUUAGCCUUUAGCCUUUAGCUCCUUUAGCUCCAGAGAAGAUGCAGAGUGUUGAAGCUUCUGAGGAAACGAACCCACGACCUGGAGCCGUGGGACCGCUGCAAAACCAAGCGCGUGUGUUUGGGGGCGGAGCUUGUGGCUGAGUGUCCAAUGGAAACAUGCGACAGUUCAAAUCUGACCAAUCAGCUGCAGUCUCAGCCGCACGUGCAGCUCAAACCCAGUUUCAGCCCUGGUCUUAGUCCCGGUCCUGGUCCUGGUCCUGGUCCUGGUCUGGUCUGUCAGCGCUGCCUCAGGGGAGAACCUGGACACAUGAACCACAUCCUGGGCCUCUAACCAAUCAGAGGACAGCUCUGAGGAACGCCACACCAGACCGACCAAUCAGAGGACAGCUCCAGUGCAUCAUCUGGGUUCAUUUUGAUUUUUAGUUUUUGGGUUUAAAUGAAGGGACAAACCCGACACCUCCAGAGUCCAGACGGCUCCUGAACCGUGACAGAACUUUAGAAAGUCUCAGUCUUGUUUUUCUGUACUUUUAAAAUCCACAUUUGAAAAUCCCAGGUACUUCAGACCGUGAUGGUCGACUAAACUUCAGGGCUAGAAACUUUUACACAGAAUAAGAGCUCAUGGAGACGCAGGCAGGGCAUCUGACUUAAAGUUUGAAUCAAGAUUUCAUAGCUCAGCUGUGAACCAAAACCAAUUUAUGUCUUUUAAAUUAAUUUGUAUUUAAUUUUAGUGAAAUGCCUUUGUGAGAAAAAGGCAGAUGUGGUUUCCAUCUGUUUAUGAUUCAAAGUUUACUCCUGAAAAUAUUAAACAUAAAAAUGUUCAGACUGAAAAUGUUUGACCUGAACAACCUUUUUGUUAGGGUUAGUUUGUUUUUUUGUUUGUUUGUUUGUUAGGGUUUGUUCAUUAAGGAUUUGCACUAAAGACACAAAAGUGAAGCUCUUUAAACUUUUAUGCAAAUCAAAAGUGACGAAGCAGCCAAUCACAGAGCAGCCUUCAGCUAAAAGCAGUUUUUGGGCAUAAUUUUGGUAUUUAAUUUUUUUAAUGCACUUUUUUUAAUUGUCAAAGUUUGCACCGUCCAAUCACAGUCCUUCCUUCCUCUGAGCUGACGUCUGAUUGGCUCACGGGCUGUGAUGUCAUUCCACACUCCUUUGAUAUUUCAGAAAAACUUUGAAUGUAAAAAUAAAUUUGAUAUUUUUGUAGAUGUAUAUUUUUGACUGAAGCUUUGUAUGAAUUAAAAAAUAAAUCAUUCUUAAAUUU